UUGUUUUCGCUGUCAAGCAAGUGAUAUCUUUUUCAGUUUUCGGUCAUUAUUGAGUGCGUGGAUAAAAUGGAUUUGAUCAGGAAUUUGAUUGAAUCAUCUGAUUCAGAAGGAGACGAGGAAAUGUUCCAUGCAUUUUUUCAAAUAAACGGUACCGCAAGAAAUGAAAAAUUGCGCGCUGAAAAUUUUAUGACUACGAUUGAUCGAUACAAUGAUGAAGAGUUUCGCAACAAUUUCCGAUUAACGAGGAGUACAGCAGAACUUCUUAUUUGUAAAUUUGAAAAUUCUGUAUUGUACAAAGAAGCAGAAGAACGGGGCAGAAGUAGUCUAUGUGCAAAAAAACAAAUGCUAUCUUUUUUAUGGUUCUGUGCAAAUAAAAACUCCUAUAGAGAGAUUUGUAAUUUGUUCGACACGUCGGAGUCAACCUUUUUUCGACACACGGAAUCUAUCCUGGAUUUCUUCCAUGAAAUAUCUAAGGAAUACAUAAAAAUGCCCAUGACUGAUGCAGAAAUUGCGAACGUCGCGAACGAAUUCGAAAAGCUCGCCGGAUUUAAAAACGUUAUCGGUUGCAUCGAUGGAAGCUAUAUUAAUGUUCGAAAACCAGCAAACAAAAUUCGCUCCAUAUAUAUCAAUAGGCAUGAAUUGGUAUCUCUAACACUGCAGGGUAUAUGUGAUGCCGAUAAAAGGUUCCUUGUCGUCUUUUUGGGCCCAGCUAGCAAAAUUCAUGAUUCGAGAAUUUUUAGCAUGUCCCCGAUAAGCCAAAACUUGCCAACGAUAUGCCAACAAAGUUAUCAUAUCCUAGGAGACGCAGCUUAUCCUAUUCGUUAGCAUCUAUUAACUCCUUUUAGGGAUUAUGGUAACCUGUCAAAUAAGCAAAAAAAUUAUAACAAACGUCAUUGUCAAACACGAGUUAAAAUAGAAAAUUGUUUUCAAUUAUUGAAACAACGUUUAAGACAACUUAUGCGUCUAGAUUUUUUUACUUUUAAAAAAUUGUGUAAAUUUAUAAUGGCAUGUUGUGUUCUACAUAACAUAUGCAUCGAUCAAAACGACUUAUUUUUAACAACCAACGAAGAAAACAA
rnacentral:lncRNA from 1 species